AUUCAUCUUUCCUGCUUGUUACUGCUGGAAUAUAGGAAUGUAAAGUUGCUUGUAUAUGCAUUAAGAUCACCAGCUAUGAGGUAACUUAUUGUUGGCCUUAANNUUUACAUUCUNUAAUAUAUUCCAGGAUACUCUAAGNAGUAUACAAGCNGAGAGUGCAUUUUCUCAUCUUCCGUGCUNGAGCCUCGACCGAUGUGAAAGANAUAUAGCAAAUCUCGUAUCAUUGUGAUGAUAGAAAGAUAUGUUAACAGCAUAUCUGUUCCAUUAUACAGUUUUUGCAGCUAAUGGUUUACAAUACGUGGCCAGUACUAGCCUGUGAGCUGUUAUGGGUAACUAUGAAUCACAUACACAUCGGAUCUGAAUCUCUGUUUAUGCAGGGUCAACACAAUGCUUGUUAGGGUGCCAAUAAUCUCGGAUAGUAUUUCGUUUAUUGAGUUGUGUUUGUAUACCUAGUAUAUAAAUCGCUCAUGGUUAUACUAUCUUUUGGUARUAUUAUUGGAUGCACAUCCUAUCAAGUUAUUGAUUAUGUUGUAGUGAUUCGGAGGCAAGUAGAUCGGUACUCUAUCCGACCCGUCUUGAAACACGGACCAAGGAGUCUACAUGUAUGCAAGCCGAACAGUCUUGAAUAGGCUUGAAAGGCGUAUUGAAAGAGAUUGGUAUGAUAUGUUAUCAUUGUCUUGAAACAUAUUGUGUUUCAAGUUGAUACAUAGCAAUACCAGCCCGUGGUAUAUCCUCUUUACUGUGAUUUCCGCGGAGUUAUAGUAUAUAUGUUAGUACCCGAAAGAUGGUGAACUAUGCCCGGGCAAGAUGAAGCCAGAGGAAACUCUGGUGGAGGUCUGUAGCGAUUCUGACGUGCAAAUCGAUCGUCAGAUCCGGGUAUAGGGGCGAAAGACUAAUCGAAC
rnacentral:rRNA from 1 species